UUUUUGUAUUCGCUGCGUUAGCAGUGAAUACAGUUCUAUCACAAUUUGCGGGAUUUCAAUAUAAGAAUGGGUACCUAACAACGCAAAGUAGUUCUACACAGAUUUUCUUGUCACACACAAGUGAUAAGAUUUUGAAUUGUCAGUAGUUCAUUUUUGAUUGUGUUAUUUCUAUCGUAUAUUAUUUGCAUGUUUUCAGGAUAUAAUCAGUAAAAAGUAUCAUUAGUAUUCAUUCGCGUUAACUUUGAGUAAGGAAGUAGUUCGUACCAAAACAAAGUUUUCGACGCUAUUUUUGUAUGUGAAAGCUGAUCUCAUCAUUUUCUAAAAGUAGGUACAGAAAACUUACCAAUAUUAUUUGAACUUAAUGUAUUCUGUUUUGGAAUUCUUAUUUGGAUUUCAUGAUGUGUAACAGUGUUGAUAAUUCGGGUGUCUUGAUAUAUUUUUUGUUGUUUGAGUUGUUUCCCUUGGUUUCCCGCAAUAUCACUAGUUUUGUCUAUGUUUAAGCGGCUUUGUUUGUAAAAAGUUCAAAGUGUUCUUAAUUUAUUGGAAAUAUGGAUUAUUGAUAGUUGAAGUUACAGCAGAGAGAGAGUUUGACAGUAUGUGUGUUUGAAGAAGAUAAUGUUAUUAUUGGUACAUUUAGUUCCACGAACUGAGUGUUGAUUUCCUCGAUUUCAUUUACUCGAUGAUUCAUUCUCUGAUUGAUGAUUGUUGAUUGAAUGUUCUAAUGAUCAAUCAACUUAUUGAUUUACUGAUUGAUUGGACAUGUCAUGGAGCCUAAUAUAGAUGGAGAAGAAACUGAGACGUCACACAGUUAAAUUCAGUAUCAAUGGGGUUGUUUUAACGCAAGUUAUCAUAUGUAACGGGAUUUUCCAAGAUUUGAUGCAUCCUGGGUAAAAGUAGCCAAAAUACCGCCAUAUUGAAUUUCCAGAGGUACAUUGACAAAGAAAGACGAAGCAUUUUAUACUUAUAUAAAGACGCAAUAGUUACAUGUAUUUAUGUUCAAACGUACCAUAUACACUUUUCCACACAGAUAUUUCCUUAAAAAAACAAUGUCGGCAAUGUAAACAGUAAUUCAUGAAUCCCGGAAGUUUAACGAGAGUGCGAGAAUCAGAGACUAGCGGGAAAACAGGAUUAUCACCGAAGCGCACAAUGGAUUGUGGAUCAACUAUUUUCUGAGCUUCCUAUCCAUUGUAUAUAUAUCUGUGGACAUGUAAGACGAAUAUAUGUGAACUGUAAGAUUUUAUCAUAAAUAAAUAGAGUUGAACUGUGCAAAGUUGUUUGUUUAGAAGAGAAAUACAUAAUUUUUGGAAAAACUUUUUGUUUGAAUGAUCAAGGUAUAAACACUUUUUGUAAAUGAACACCAGGCUACCAUUUUCAUACUUGUAAUGGCAGGGCUUCCAUUAAUGGAAGUUUGGGAGUCAUUUACUCCUUGAAUUUGGCUUGUAACUUCCAAAAUGUAAUGCUUUUUUCUUCUAUACCAAUAUUUUGUGACUUCCAAUGUCAAGACAUUUUGCAGUCUUUGACUUCCAAAUUUUGGAUCUUAAUGGUAACCCUGAAUGGACCUACAUGUUUCACCUAAAUUGUAUUGGAAAUAUGUAAAAAACUUCCUUUUAAAAAGUUUCUAGCUGAAAUUAUGCGAAGAAAUGCAUUGGAUACCUCAGAUUAUUGCUAUGUUGUUAAAAAAUUUCCAAGCCUUAUGGUCACAUAUUCAUGGAAAAAUUCGAAAAAGGAAAAUAGAUUGUCUGGUGAAUAGAUUUCCAGUCUGCUUAUCAUUUACAUACAAAACUUCAGUAGUGUCCCUGGGUUGACCGGUGGGGUCAAAAUUAAUCCUGUCUAAUGGUAAUGUUGUAAAAGGUUCUAUUUUUUUUGUUUAAAGCAUAAAGUUUUAUGUUUAUAUGUAUUAUAAUAGAUAUAUGUAUAGGUGUUGUGUGUAAACCAACAUGUGAAAACUCUGGAACAUCAUUGCUAAAGCAAUAUUGUUAGGUAUAAUACCAUACAGGCAAGAAGGGUAUCGGUAUUAAUAUCAUUUACUAUAGAUUUAGAAUGCAAGAAAAGAUAACAUAUCAUUCCUCGCUUCUUAGUACAAAAAGUGCCGUAUCACUUUUAUAUUUAUAUUAAUGUUUACUGCAUAAAACACUUCCUUUCUUUUCAUUUUAAGCUAGACUAUACAAAGUAUAUGGAGAGCCGUCCUACUCGCCUUGGCGUCCGCGUCCUUAUUUCAGAUUAAAGUUUUGGUUUUCCUUAUCAACCACAUGUGACAAGGUUCAUAACUUUAGCACCACUAUUUUCAGAUUUUUUUCCCCUUGAACUUAGAAUUUUCCUUAAAAAAUAUUAUUUUUUACUGUUACUUCUUUAUUUCUUAAGGGAUGAACUUCAUACUUCAAAUAUUAUGUUCCAUAUCAUCAACCACAUCUUUAUAUGACAAGGUUCAUUACUCUAGCAUCAAUAUUUUCAAGUUUAUCUCCCCCUGAACAUAGAAUUUUCCUUAAAAUAUGUUAUUUUUAGCUUGACUAUUCGAUAAGAAUAAGUAGAGCUAUUGUUGUCACCAGAGCGUCAGUGUUGGUGUCGGCGUCUGUGAAGCAAUAUUUUCAGGUUUAUAUCCCUUUGAACUUAGGAUUUUUUUAAAAGAAAUAUUAUAAUUAAUUUACUUUUAAAGGUAUCUACUUCAAACUUCAAAUAUAUAUUUCUUAUCAUUACACAUAUAUUGUGUGACAAGGUUCAUAACUCUAGCAUUUCCAGAAUUACCCCCCCCCCCCCCUUGAACUUAAUUAUGUAAUUUAUGUAAACAAAUGUUAUUUUUUACUAUAACUUAAUACAUAAUUGAUUUUCUUUCAUAGUAUUGUCUUCCAUACCAACAUAUCUCAUCCUCUUGAUAUUUGGCAUACAGCAUUGACGUUGUCCCAUAGGGUCGGAUUUGAUUUCAGGUCUGUCGCUCACCACGCCCUGUUUACCGUUAAAUUUUCAACAUUAAUGGUCAAUGGUAGGAAAUUUUCGUUACAGUUUUUUUAGCAACUACAUAUCACAGCCUCUUGAUAUUUGGCAAACGGCAUUUACACAUGGUCUCAUAAUGUGAGAUUCGAACUCAUCCACUUCCUAUUAACUGACUUAGUUAAAUUUUCCACAUUAAUGGUCAGUGGUAAAUUUUUUUCAUAGCAUUACAGCAUCAUGAUAUUUGGUAUAGAAAUGCAACCCGGCUUUGUCUGUCUUUGACCAAUUUUUUUUUUUUUUUAAUUUUGAAAUCAUUCAUUUAUUAUUGUUGAAAUCUACUGUAUAAUACCUUUAAAAUACCAUGUUCCCAGUACUUUUUAUUUACAUGCUUAAGUUGUUCUUAACUGAUAACAUAUGCAAAACAAACCUGUACAUCCCUUUAUUAGAAAUUGUCAUUUAAUUAAAUGCAUAAUAAUUAUCACAUUUGUUGAUUUAAUUGUUUCUAAUGGUCAAUAGUGUUACAUGUAUAUAAUUUUUUAUGUUCAUAUUACAUUUGCUUGUUUCUCUAUCAUUUCAAUCCAUUGUCUUAAUCAUUAUAUAACUUGUUAAUACCUUAAUUAUGUAGCAUUGUUUUUAUAUUUACAUUGUAUUUGCAAUUUUGUGAACAUUUAUCAGUAAGUAAUAUUCUUAUUAAAAGAAAUUUCACAAUUGAUAUGUUUAGUACCAAGCCAUUUAUACAGUGUGUUUCCGAUUAAUGAAAAUGUUUUCAACAAAUGACUAAAAAUUGAGCAAUCACCAUACUUUCUAGCAUAAGAAUCUUAAAAUAAAAUUACUUAAAUUGCAAGCAAGUUGCAAUUUUAUACAUGAGGUAAACUUAUCAUGACCAAAUUUUCUUUUCAUGUUUGCAAGUUUUGUAUAUAUGCUUUAAUUAGAAAAGAACACUGCUUAUGUGUGAAGUAACUGAAAUAUUCAAAGCUUUAUAUUAGAAAGUUUGUCAUGCAACAUUAAAUUGUGUAAGAUUCAGACUAUUAGAUAAGGUGAUGUACUUAUUAAUUAAUGCUGUUAUAAUUACAUGUAUUAUUAUUGUGAGUAAAAAGGUUCUGGGGAUAUCAUGUUUUAACCAGGGGCAUAGAUAAUAUAAUAUAUACUGUUUACUUUUUUAUCAAUAUUGCGAUUGGUUUUAAAGCUGUGUUUUCUUAAAUAUGGAUAUUAUUGAAUCAUCCUCGACAUCAGUAUUCUCAAUAUUUUUAGCUCACAUUAGCAAUAGCUCAGCUAUUACAGACAGUCAAAGAUUCCCUGUCUAUAUGUUAUCCAUAUUUCAAUAAUGUCAUAUUGAACUACUGGUCCAGUUUGAAAACGUCAAAAAUUCUCAUUUCUUGUGUCUUUGCAAGAACGCUUUAAAUUAAUUUGGUCUAUUGCAUGAUAAGGUCACAGUAGCUAAAAAAAGAUUAAAUCUUACAACCAUCUUUUUCCCUAACUGUCCUAUUUUGUUAUAUGCCCGAAAGGGCAUAUUAUUAGAGUCUUACACCGGUACAGACCGGAAUAAGUAGCUCGGAAUAUCUAGCUCGAGGGUAACUGUUUACAGCGGUAACGAGGCUCUGUACCAAGAGCCGGUGUUUGAUUCUUUUUCUUGCAUAUUACAUGUCAAUUAUUUUCGGAACAGAAGUAAUGAAAACUUAUAUUCUCAUUACGCACUUUUUUCUUAUAGUAGCGUAUGAACAUACAACUUCAUUCAUAACGGAAAAAUGACGUCAUCUUAAGAACGCGAUUCAUACAUAAAAGGCGCACAUCAAUGACGUCAUAUAAAACACGCGACUUGUCUUACAUGGUGGGUGUAAGACAGAGUUUUCUAGCACCGUUCUAAACGGUAGAUAAUCCUGUCUGAGAUGCAAGAAUAUGUUAUACCCCCUGGCGUCCGUCCCAUAGCAAUUUGGUUUCCGAAGCAUAUCUUAAAUUCCACUUGGCCCAUAAUAUUCAAACUUCAUAGGAUGAUUGUCCAUAUUGGGUAAAAGACCCCUAUUGAUUUUGGGGUCAAAAGGUCAAAGGUCAAGGUCACUAUUACCUUAAAACUGAAAACAGUUUCCAGAGCAUAACUUAAAUUCCAUUUGGCCACAGAAUAUUCAAACUUCAUAGGAUUAUUGUCCAUAUUGGGUAUAAGACCCCUAUUGAUUUUGCGGUCAAAAGGUCAAAGGUCAAGGUCACUAUUACCUUAAAACUGAAAAUAGUUUCAGGAGCAUAACUUAAGUUCUAUUUGACCCACAAUAUUCAAACUUCAUGAGAUGAUUGUCCAUAUUGGGUAGAAGACCCCUAUUGAUUUCGGGGUCACAAGGUCAAAGUCAAUUUUACCUUUAUACUGAAUACAGGUUCUAGAGCAUAACUUAAGUUCCAUUUGGCCCACAAUAUUCAAACUUCAUAGGAUGAUUGUGCAUAUUGGAUAGAAGACGCCUAUUGAUUUUUGGGUCACAAGGUCAAAGGUCACUAUUACCUUAAGUCUGAAAACAGUUUCCGUAGCAUUCCAUUUGGCCCACAAUAUUCAGACUUCAUAGGAUGAUUGUCCAUAUUUGGUAAAAGACCCCUAUUUAUUUUGGGGUCACAAGGUCAAAGGUCAAAGUCACUAUUACCUUAAAAAUGAAAACAGUUUUUGCUCAAUAACUUUAGUAUUAAUCAACCUACAGCUGUUAAAUUUUAAGGAAUGAACAGCUAAUUCCCAUGUCUUACAAAUGCUUCAUCCUUACUAAAAAAACAAACACUUUCGGGCAUAUAAUGCUCCGCCUAGCGGUGCUCUUGUGUGUAUUGCAUUAUCCUCAUUUAAAAGUAUAAUACGCAAAAAUAUUAAAAGUACUUGUUUUUUUUGUAAUUUUUUAAUCUCAGAAAUUUUUAAAAUUUAAGUAUUUUACAAAAAUACCUAUAUUUUCUUCUCAAAUUUCAUGAAAUUAACAUGU